AGAACGUCGUGAGACAGUUCGGUCCCUAUCUGCCGUGGGCGUUGGAAGAUUGAGAGGGGUUGCUCCUAGUACGAGAGGACCGGAGUGAACGCACCACUGGUGUUCGGGUUGUCAUGCCAAUGGCAUUGCCCGGUAGCUAAGUGCGGAAGAGAUAACCGCUGAAAGCAUCUAAGCGGGAAACUUGCCUCGAGAUGAGUCUUCCCUGUCACUUUAAGUGACCUAAAGGAACGUUUAAGACUAAGACGUUGAUAGGCUGGGUGUGUAAGCGUAGCGAUACGUUGAGCUAACCAGUACUAAUGAACCGUGAGGCUUAACCUG
rnacentral:rRNA from 1 species